rnacentral:lncRNA from 1 species
UUCUGGGGCCAGGAAUCGAAUUGACGCCACAGCAGAAACCCAAGUCACUGCAGUGACAAUACCAGAUCCUUAACCUGCUGAACCACCAGGAAACUCCUCUCUUUUUAUUAUAUUCUGUUGUACUGAAUAUUUGAAUUCAUGCUUUUAAAACCUUGAGGUUCGGAGUUCCCAUCGUGGUGCAGUGGUUAACGAAUCUGACUAGGAACCAUGAAGUUGCAGGUUCGAUCCCUGCCCUUGCUCAGUGGGUUAAGGAUCCGGCGUUGCCGUGAGCUGUGGUGAAGGUUACAGACUCGGCUCAGAUCCCUCGUUGCUGUGGUUCUGGUGUAGGCCGGCGGAACCUGGGAACCUCCAUGUGCCAUGGGAGCAGCCCUAGAAAAAGGCAAAAAGACAAAAAAUAAAUAAAUUAAAUAAAAAAUGAAAAAAUAAAACCUUGAGGUUCAUCAGAGAGUAGAGUGGUGGUUGCCAGGGGCUGUCAGAUGGGGCAAGAAUCCUUUGACAACAGGUAUGGCUAUAGUAAAUAAUGCUGCAGUGAAAUGGUUUGCAACCUUGGCAACCACUGAUAGACAAAUGGAUAAACAAAAGAUGUGGUGUAUGUAUAUAUAUACAAUGGAGUAUUAAUCAGCCGUAAGAAAACAGAACAAAAAAGAAAUCUUGCCAUUUGUGACAUGAUGGAUGGAACGCUAUAGAAGGUAUUAUGUUAAGUGGAAUAAGUCAGGCAGAGAAAGACAAUGACUGUGAUUUCACUUAUAAGUGGCAUUUUAAAAACAAAAAAUAUAUAACAAAACAAAAACAGACUCACAGAGAACAAACUGGUGGUUGCCAGUGGGUGGCAGUGGGGGUUGUGGGCAGGGGGUGGGAGGGGGGAUAGGUGAAGGGGGUGAAGAGGAACAAACCUCCAAUUACAAAAUAAUAAUCCCCUAGGAUGGAAAGUACAGCAUGGCCAGUAACAUUGUAAUAAUUUUAUACGGGAGCAGAUAGUUACUGGACCUAUGGUAGUAAUCAUUUCAUAAUGCAUGCAAAUAUCAAAUUGCUAUGUAGUCCACCUGACGCUAACAAAGUAUUCUAUGUCAACUAAAUUUCAGUAAAAAAGUGCAUGUAUAUCAGAUCCCCAAGAUGGACACUUUAAAUAGCUUAUGAUUUUAUGUCAGUUUUAUAUCAGUAAAGCUUGAAUUUUCUUGUCGAAGUCUAUUUAUAAUAUCAUGUUAGUUUCAGGUGUCCUGCAAAGGGAUUCAUUUAUACACACAUAUAUCUAUUCUUUUUCAGAUUCUUUUCCCUUAUAGGUUAUUGCAAAGUAUUGAGUAGAGUUCCCUGUGUUAUGCAAGUUGGUCCUUGUGGCUUAUCUCUUUUAUUUACAGUCGUGUAUUAUCUGUUAAUCCCAAACUCCUAAUUUAUCCCUCCCCACUUUCUAUGUCUGAGGGUCUGUGUCUGUUUUGUAAGUAAGUUCACUUGUAUCUUUUUUUUUUAGAUUCCACAUGUAAGCAAUAAAAUAUAUUUACUUUUCUCUUAUUUACUUCACUUAGUAUGAUCAUCUCGAGGUCCACCCAUGUUGCUGCAAUUGGCAUGAUUUCACUCUUUUAGUAAAGCUGGAAUUUUUAAAUAAAGAAUUAGAGGUUCUUUUUAAUGAAUAUUCACAUAAAUCGUUAAAGUAAUUCAAUAUUUAAUACUUAAAGUGUUUGCACAGACUCCAUCUGGGUAUGUAUUAUGUAAUCAAAUGCAGACACAGCUAACUAUCAGGUGUAAUUCUAGGACUUACUCUGUCAACAGCUUUACUUUAAAUAAAAAAAACAGGUGAAAAUUCAGUUAACUAUGUAAGUACCUGUUAUUCUGACCAAUUUUUUUUAACCUAAUUGAUUGUGAAUGACCUGGAGAUUGUAGCCGGUAGCUCCGAGAGCCCUGCAUCAAGUCUUUUUCAUCCAACAUGUUUAAUAGUAUAAUAGGUUUAGAAUUGUUAAUGGUGGGACCCAGGAAUUAAACUCUAUCUCGAGUGACUAGUUGAACAACCUCUUUUUGCAUGGUAAGACUCUGAGUCUCAGGUAUAGCAAGUAGCUGAACCAGUUAAUGACGGCAGAGUGGGAGCUAACUCAGUUCUCCUGACUCUGAGGCUGGUGCACUCUCCGCUUGACUGUGUGUCCUUCCAGGUUUUACUGGACUGAGGGCCAGAUGGUGACUCUAACAGCAAUAAGAGAGCGUGUCCAUGGUAGUGACAUUAAAGCUGAAACUGGCGUGGUUGACAAGCCAUAAAUUCUAACCCAUCUUAAUGCGAAGGCAAACAUGGUGUAGAAAUCAAUGUGUAAGGUGCUGUGGGCAGCCUUUGGGCAGCCUGGGGGCUUGGGAUUGGCAGUUGCACACUGAGGUAUAUGGAAUGAUCGGGCAGCAGGGACCUGAUAUAUAAACCCAGGGGACUCGACCCAAUUUUCUGUGAUCAUCUAUGUGGGAAGUGAAUCUGAAAGAGGAUGGAUGUGUGUCCGCGUAUUACUGAAUCACUUUGUACAACAGAAAUUAUCACAACCUUGUAAAUCAACUCUCCUUCAAUAAAAAUGUUUGAAAAAAGAAAAAGAAAGUCAAAUAGGGUGACAUGAUGGAGAGUAAUCCCACCUUGGUCCUGGAGGUCAGGGCUUCUUCAAGGAGAUGAGUUUCGAGGUGAGACCUGAAUGGUGUGAAAAGGAAGCAGCCAGGCUGGUGUCAACAGGAAAAGUUCUGAGCAGAUGAAGAGCAGGUGCAGAGCCCUGACAUAGGCACGUGCUUGGCAGGGUCUGUGGGCAGAAGGGAGGCCAGGGUGGCUGUCACGUGGCAGUGACUGAGCAAAGCAAGGGAACGUGAGGACGGGGAUGUGGCCGGGAGCCAGUCCUUGCCAGGCCCUGCACACGAUGGUUUUAUCAGUUGCCGUGAGAAGCUCUUAGGAGAUUGUAAGCAGCAGAGCGAGAGAAGCGAACCUAUGCUUUAACAAGACCACUUUGGGUGCUCUGUGGAGCUCAGAAAGCAACCCUACAGGCACUUAGGGGCUUUUGCAAAGAGAGGUCAUGAGAGAGGUCAUAAAGGCUGGCUGCUAGAGCAGAUAGGGCUUGCUAAUGGGUUUUUGGUCUGGGUCACAGGAAGGGAUCAUGACUCUCACUAUAGUGUGAAAGACUGCCAUGUAGGGGAAGAAUCGGUAGUUUUUGUGCAAGCAGGUAAGGUUUCAAGAAGCCCCCUGAAAAGUCAUAGGGAAGAUUCUUGUUGGCAUCUUCUGCAAGAGCCUGAAACUCAGAGGCAAGAAUAUUUAGGAACACACCUCACAGAAACUGAGAGAAGGGAGUCCAGGAGUAGAAAAUACUCAUUCCUUCAACAUAGGAGAGAAAUGAAAGUUUAAGAAGGAAAACCCUUAAGAGAGCAAGAUAAAGAAGGGCUGGGAGAAUAGGACUGGGGAAUGGACAAAAGGGGAGAUCGCAAAACAGUGGCAAAAACCAACACUUAAUAUAACCUUCCUAAUCCCCCAGAACCCACCUCACAGUGAAUAAUUCAGUGACACUUGUAUUAAGGGGAAAUACUGAAGCUUUAGGUAUAAUACAUUGACUUCAUAGAUCCAUUCAACUACUGUAGAUGAUAUUUAGCGUUUUUUCUUUUUUUUCCUCUGAAUUUUUUUUAAAUUUAUACUUUUUUUUUUUUUUUUUAAAGUCUGCACCUGUGGCAUGUGAAAGUUUCCCUGCGCCAGGGAUUUAAUCAGAGUUGCAGCUGCAGGCCUACACCACAGCCAUAGCAGCACUGGAUCUGAGCUGCAUCUGCAACUUAUGCUGCAGCUUGCGGCAGUGCUAGAUCUUCAACCCGCUUAGUGAGGCCAGGGAUUGAACCCGCGUCCUCACAGACACUAUGUCGGAUUCUUAACCUGCUGAGCCACAGUGCAACUCCUUAAAAUGUAUGCCAUUUUAAAGGUUAAUUUCUAUUUACAGUUAUUACAAAAUAUUGGCUGUAUUCCUCAUGUUGUUCAGUACAUCCUUGGGCCUGUGUGUACUUCCCACUCACUCACCCCUAUAUUGUACCUCCCCCAACCUCUCCCUUCCCACUGGUAGCCACUAGUUGGUUCUCUGUAUCUGUGAGUCUGUUUCUUUUUUGUUGUUGUAUUCACUAGUUUGUUGCAUUUUUUAGAUUCUAGGUAAAAGUGCUAUCACACAGUAUUUGUCUUUCUCUUGUCUGACUUAUUUCACUUAGAAUAAUAAUGUCCUCCAAGUCCAUCCCUGUUGCUAUAAAUGGCAAAAUUCCAUUCUUUUUUAUGACUGAGUAGUAUUCCAUUGCCUAUAUGUACUACAUCUUCUUCAUCCAUUUAUCUGUUGGUGGACACUGAAGUUGCUUCCAUACCUUGGCCACUGUAAACAAUGCUAGCAGCUUUUCUUUUACAAUUAACCAUAGAAAGACAUUUACUGAUACAGAAAGCAUUUUACUUUGUUAAAUGCAACUUGCAAGUACCAGAAAAUUACAGACUGUACCUUUCACGGUCAGAUUUCCAAUGGAACAGAUCCAUGGGGGGACAAAAAGGUCAAAGGGCCCCGCAAAACACCCUCUCCUCCUUCCAUUCUUCCUAGAAUUGUUCAAAGUGACAGCUUUGACUUGGAUGAAAUUACUGUGGCUUUUCAUUAAUAACCAACCAUACUCAAGUGUAUUCUCAAGUCUAUCUUAUAUAGUCCUGGGGGAAAAGGGGGAGGGGCAGUGCAGGAGAGUGAGCCUUUCGGUUCUUAUAGUUGGUUGGUUGUAAUACAUAUAUAUUUUUUUAAAUUAACAACUCUCAAUAAGCAAUGGAAUCCUGCUGUAUAGCACUGGGAACUAUGUCUGGUCACUUGUGAUGGAGCAUGAUCAUGUGAGAAAAAAGAAUGUAUACCUGUAUGUGUAACUGGGUCACCUUGCUGUACAGUAGAAAAUUGACAGAACGCUGUAAACCAGCGAUAAAGGAAAAAAUAAAAAUCAUUAUAUAAAAAAGAAAUUACCACAUCUCAAAAAGAAGGUUGUGUAGUCCUUGUAAAUUCUUAACUAAUGAUAAAGCCCACAAUAUGUUAAAGAAAGAAAAAAAA